ACAUGCCUACAACAUAGCGCUAAUGCACCGGAUCCCAUUAGAACUUUUUGGUUAAGCAUGCUCAGGCUAGAGUAGUACUGGGAUGGGUGACCACCCGAGAAGUCCUAGUAUUUUACAUGCC
rnacentral:rRNA from 1 species